AUUACCUUAAAGAAUAUACAACUCAACCACAUAGAGCUGCUCCAGAGCCUGUUUCCCAAAAAGAGCAAGGUCCACCCAGCAAGGGAAAGGAGCAAGUCCUGGCCCACCCCAAAGUGCAGCGAGCCAGACUGAUGUCUUAUGACAGAACAGGAACCUUUGAAAGAUGAUGGUGAAUUUGUAUACUGCAUUCCUCGGGGGAAUCUUAAAAGUUUUCACAAUCCAUAUGAUCUUCAGGUGGUAUCUGCCUACAGAGCUAGAAAUUGCAAAAAAUUUUGGAUUAUUUCUGCUUCAUUUAUUUCAAAGGUUGUUAAAACAGGUGUUGAUACAGAAGAAGUAGAACUUGUUCCUGCUUUGGAAUGGCUAUCAGAAAGACGUCGUUACUAUUUAUUACAGCAAUUCAAGAUAUUUUCCAAUUUCCGAGUUAAUAAAGCCUUUUUGACAUGGAAAUUGAAUGUUAAAAGAAUUAAGACAGAGAAGAGCAGGUCAUUUUUAUAUGAUCAUCUCUUUUGGGCUGAUGAGUUAUUUCAAUCCUGUUUGCUUUAUAUAAGAGGACUCUGUGAAGAUGCUGUUAAUAUCAGUAGUUAUAAUGAACAUGUGGAUAAUUCCUCUGCUAUAUUUCUUGUGAAGGUAGGUGGGGUUACCUUCUACAAGCUAAUGCUAGCAUGUAGAAAUCUGUUAGAACAAAGAAGUAUAGACUUCUGGAUUCACAGGAGAAUUCCUUUGGAAUUCUCCUUUUGGUGUUUUGAAAUUGCUACUCAGAAUGUGAUUUCCUCAGAAGUCAAUCUUAAUCGUUUGCAAUAUUCCUUAGAAAGAAUUUCUAUUUGA
rnacentral:lncRNA from 1 species